AUAACAUACUCAACCCUUUCUUCCCGUUCUUCUCUCGUACAACAGUCGCCGCGCGCUCACAGAAAUCUUUAUCACGCUAUCCUUCCUGUUCUUCUCUCUCAAACAAGCGGGAAAAUUAGGAGGGAUUUUGAGAGAAAAGAGAGGAGUCCUAUUUAGGAUUCUUCUCAACCCAAAAGAGAUGGACAAAUAUAAAAGGGAACAAAGCCGCCUCAUCAGAACAUCAACUUCUCUGUUCAAUCCUCAUCUCGAUCAAGGUUCUUUCUCCUUGACUGACGUUGCUGGUAACAGAUUGAAGGUGUUUCAAACACAUCCACCAAAACGAUGUCGUCUCAAUCUCUGCAACUUGGCCGAGGAAAAAUGAUAAGGAAGCCUGCUACUGCAACAACAAGACGGUACCAUCCAAAUCUGCUUCUCAACUACCAUCACAACCAGCCCUGAGAGCAACUUCUAAUGCAGCAGCCACAAUAACUCAAUUGCCAUUUGAAGAGCCACAAGUCAAUCAACAUCCUAUAACUCACAACUCAGAGAUGAAGACGGUGUCCAAAACAAUGGAGAUAAUUCGGAAACAGAGGAUUUGGAGGAAGAAUUGUGAUUCAAAAAGUCAUUUUCAGUCAUUUUUAGUUUAGGAUUUAGCUAGUCUUGGCAAACAAUUUUUCUUUUUAUUAGCUAUUAUUAUUUUUGGGUUGAAUUUUGUAAACUCUAUUUGAUUUAUGAUUUAAUAAGUCUUUGAUUA